GACAGAGGGUGCAAACGUUGUUCGGAAUUACUGAGCGUAAGACGCGCGCAGGCGGUCCUUUAACGUUCUGAUGUGAAAGCCCACGGCUCAACCGUGGAGGGUCAUUGAAUACUGGAGGACUAGAGUACUGGAGAGGAAACUGGAAUUUACGGUGUAGCAGUGAAAUGCGUAGAGAUCGUAAGGAAGACCAGUGGCGAAGGCGAGUUUCUGGACAGUUACUGACGCUGAGGCACGAAGGCCAGGGGAGCAAACGGG
rnacentral:rRNA from 1 species